AGGGCGGUAGCGCCCUCUGCCACCACCUGCUGGCGAAAAAAAUCAGUAACGCAGGCGGAGCCAUGUAGGACUUCUCAGAGGUAAGAAGCCUUCAAUGUAUGGGGACCCCUAAACUUGUGUGCCAAGCCCGCAAGACAAAUGUCCGUGGCACGAAGAUCAAGGACGACUUCUCAGAGGUGAUUCGGACAGGGUGCCGGGUGGGGCCUAAUGGUAUAUGAGCAGCAGGUGUCCUAUAUGAGAGCUCAUUCUGCCUGAGCUGCUCUUUGGGGCAGUAGGUAAACCUUAGGAGGAACCAGUCAAAGGAAACAGCACUUUCUGGAACUGUCAAGUUCUUGUUCGGCAACUCGGUGACUGGUUUGAUCUACUUUUCAGAUGUAGAGGCAAGCGGACUGUUGUCUUGAAAUGAUAAAAUUAAAAACAUGAAGUUUGUCAAAUGUGGCAGUGCCUGUUUACAGUCUGUUUAUUGCUUUUGCCAGUGGUAGAUAACACUUACAA